CCUACGGGGGGCAGCAGUGAGGAAUAUUGGUCAAUGGCCGGAAGGCUGAACCAGCCAUGCCGCGUGAAGGGCAGGGACCUAGGGGCGUUAAACUUCUUUUGUGCGGGAGCAAGAAUGGUCACGUGUGGCCAGACGAGAGUACCGUACGAAUAAGCAACGGCUAACUCCGUGACAGCAGCCGCGGUAAUACGGGGGAUGCAAGCGUUAUCCGGAUUUAUUGGGGUUCACGGGUGCGGAGGCUGUGAGGUAAGUCAGCGGGGAAAUGCCCCCGCUCAACGGGGUGAAGUGCCAUUGAUACUGCCUUGCUGGACUGCGGAUGCCGUGGGAGGAAUGUGUGGUGUAGCGG
rnacentral:rRNA from 1 species